CCAUUGCCGGAGGCGCGCCUACUGGACUUAUCCAGUUGGUUCACCGUCGGCGCCGGCGGGGGCGACAUUUUUCACAGCGUGUCGCGCGCCCGACCCCGCUCAUUACUCUUCGGCCUACUCCUACUUUUCGUAGGGGUAGGCCUCUUCCUACUCCCCGCUCGGUAGAGCGGCACACACUA
rfam:Hepatitis C virus (isolate JFH-1) genomic RNA, complete genome.